UCCUCCUUCAAUAAAUUGCAACUCCAGGAGCCAGCUACAUGGGUGAAAACCCUUGGAGUUAUCCUCAAUUGUUCUCUUUCUCUUAUAUCCCAUCUCCAAUCCAUAUUAGUUCUCCAUUGCUGUGCAAAAAGUUAUACUUUAAUUUUUGCCAGUCGGGAAACUGGGCGCAGCUUAGCUGAGUCUCCAGGAUCAGUUUCUUACAAGGCUGUAGUCGAGGUGCUGGCCGGGGCUGCAGGCAUCUCAAGGCCUGACUGUGGAGGACCCUUCCAAGCUCACUCACAUGGCCCUUGGCAGGCCUCAGAUCCUUGCUGGCUGUUAGCUGGAGACAGCAGUUGCUUGCCACAUGGGCCUUUCUGAGGGAAGAUCGCAGUAUGGCAUCUGGCUUUCCCAGAGAGUAAGAGAGGGCAGGAGACAGAAGUCACGUUUUGUAACCUAGUCUUAAAAUUGACAUACCGUCACUUUUACUGUAUUUUUUUUUCUUUUCUUUUCUUUUUUUCUUUUUUUUGUACAAGAAGUGAGUCACUAGGUCCAGCCCAUACCCAAGGGAAAGAGAGGAUCAUGUGGGACCAUCACAGAGACUGCCAACCACACAAUCCAACAGCAAAUUCUGCCAUUUCUACUGUCAAAUAUGUGCAGAAUCCAAUACCUCUCAUCACCUCCAUCUAGCACCCUGAUCCACCUGGCUUAUUGCAAUAGCCUCUUAAAUUAUAUCCUUCCUCCCCAACCCCAGCUAUGCACAGACUGUUUGACCCAGAGUAGUGAGAGUGAGCCCAGGAAAAUAUGAACAAGAUCAUAUUAAUCCUUGGCAAAAAAAUCUCCAGUGUUCUUAUAAAGACCUACAGGCUCUGUCCCUGCCCUGACCUUGUCUCUUACUAUUCCCUGCUUCUCUUAUUCUGCUCCAACCACACCGACCUCGUCAUGUUCCUUGACCACACUAAGCAUGUACCACCUUAGACUCUUUGCAUGUGAGUCUUCUCUUAGAUACUACAAGAGUCACCUUUUAGGGAGGCCUUCCCCCAACGUGACAUGCACACUGCCUAACUCCUUUACUCCUCAUAGCCUUUAACCAGCUUUUAUUCUACUUCAUAGCACUUACCAUUGGCCUCAUUUUACUUGUUUAUUUUCUGUUUUUCCUGUAGAAUUUAUUGGUGCAUAAUAGGAACUCAACAAAUAUUUAUUAAAUACAUACCUAUAUACAUAUAAAACCAUGAUCAGGUUAUAGAAGUUCCUGCUCUUUCUAUGGCUGGUACUGAACACUUUUGUAUAUAGUGGCACCAUUUACAUAGUUGACCUCUUCUGAGUUGUGUUGAAUUCAUCAUUUAACUCUGUGACAAGUGGAAGGGGUGAGUAGGAAUUCGGAAAAGGACAGAUCAGCUGAUACAUCCCUAGCCUUCCACCAUCCCUUCCAACUCACUGCUUCUUCACCUUCUUUAAAAACCUUUCCUCCCCUGAGCCUCAUGGUACCUGUUCAUACUUCUGCCUUCUUGCUGUCAUUUUUAGAUCCUGAGUUCACCCAAGACCUUAGCCCAGCACCCUCAUGGCUCUUGCUCUACCUCUGAAAUCUUCAACCCUGGGGUACUAGUGUUUGACCCCAGCCUUCUGCUCUUUCAGUUGAUUCCCCUUCUAUUUGCCCUUGAAAUACACUGAGCCCUCCACCCCAUGCUCCUCCAUCUUCAGCCAAACCCUUACCCCUUUUGGCUUUAUGACUUCCAUCCAGCCUAAACAUUUGCCUCAUUACCUCAUUCUCUAUGAAGAAGAAGAUGGGGUAUAGUGAUGGAAAGCACAGGUUCAAAGCCUGGCUUCACCACUUGCUAAAUCUUGUGAUCUUAGGCAAAUUAAUUAAUAUAUCUGAAACUUACUUUCCUUGAAUGAGAGUAAUAGCCUCCUUAUAGGAGAGUCAUAAGAUUUGUAAGACUCUUAAAGAAGCACUUCCCUCGUGGACAGAACAGUAAAUGGAAACAAUGACUAUUGAUGUUAAUUUUUUAAUUUUUUUGUCUUUUCUAGGGCCUUACCCGUGGUGUAUAGUGAUUCCCAGGCUAAGGGUCUAAUCUGAGCUGUCGCCUCUGGCCUAUGCCAGAGUCACAGCAACUCAGGAUUCCAGCCGCGUCUGCAACCUACACCACAGCUCACGGCAACGCCGGAUCCUUAACCCACUGAGCCAGGCCAGGGAUCGAACCUGCAACCUCAUGAUUCCUGGUCGGAUUCUUCAACCACUGAGCCACAACAGGAACUCCUUGAUGAUAAUUUUUAAAUGAGCUAAUAUUUAGAAAUGUUUGGAAGAAUUCCUCAAGCAUAGUAAUUACUAUUUAGUGUUUGUUAAAUCAGUUAAACGUUCUCUUUCUGUUUCAUAUCAUUAAUUUCCUUACCAUUCCCUCAUGCUCGAAAACUCCCUAUUUCUAUUGCUCCAACAUGAGUUCUAUUCAGUCAAAUCACAGAGCUGGCAAACAGGGCAGAGAAAAGUCCUGGGCUCCAGCUCCUUGGUUCUUUAAUUGUCCCCCAACAACGCCCUCCUUCCUUUGCUCAAUAGCUACCUCAGCUCUUCUCCCUCCUAUGGCUGCCUCAUCCCACCACGUCUUCUCUCACAUGGGGCAGAUGGUCUUCCCUCCUAUUGGGCAGGAAGACAUAGGGUCUGGUGCUAACAACAUCAACUGUUAGACACUCCAGCUAUGACUUUCUUUAUUUAUCCUCACUUCUUCUCUCCAGCCUGAGGACUAUGGCUUCUCUGGGCUCCUUGGAAAUGUCACCCUCUCAGCAUCUCCAAUCUUUCCCUCUCCUCUGCCUUGUCACUCACCCUAUAGAUGUGGAGUCAGCAUCUAUGGUGGUUAAGCCCUGUACCUACAAUAUUUGGGUAGGGAUUCUAGUGCUGCUGCUCCCUAACUCUGUGACCCAGGACAAGUUACUUAACCUCAUCCUUCUUCAGUUUCCUCUUCUGGAAAGCAGAGGUACUAUCACAUUAGGUGUUUGAAAGGAUCCUAGGAAUUAAUGCAUGUGAAACACUUAGAAGCAGUGUCUGGCAUGUAGCAACUUCUCAAUAAUUAUAUGCUAUUCUAAGUUAUUCCAAUCUAAAAAAGCACAUGAAACUUUCAUAUGUAUGUCUCCUCCAGUAACUGCCUUAUCUCUCUUCCUUUCACGUUGAAGUUUCUUGAAAAAAAAUAUACUCUGAUAUUUUCCUUCCUUGUUCUGGUGUUUGUUUUUCCCUCUCUGUUAAGUGCAUUGUUCAAUUCUCCCAUUAAAAUGCUUUUGCUGAGGCCUUGAAAAAACCAGUGUGUGUGUGUGUGUGUGUGUGUGUGUGUGUGUGUGUGUGUGUGUGCACGCAUGUGCUUAUAUUGGCCAUUCUGGGACAUCUGAUACCUCUCCCUUCUUCAAAUCUCUCCCCUGGCCUUCCAAGACACCAUUUCCCUUUCAUUCUCUUAUUUCUCUGACCCAAUCUUCUUUUUGUUCCAUCCUUAUCGAUAGUUGUUGUCUCUGGAGCUCUAUCAUCAGCCCUACCUCCUACACAUUCUACUGUGAUCCUUCUACCCUGGUCUUGAGUGUUCUCUUACAUGGAAGGAAUCAUACUGAACCCUGAAUUACAAACUCCUCAAUCCCAAGGCCUUCUUAUAACUUUACCUAGCUAUGCUAUGGGCUCCUUACAUUUAUCAUAUCCAGAGUUGAACUCUUCAUCUCCCCCACCAAACUCACUCUCCUUUCCUUAUUCCAUAUCUGAGUAAAUGGCACCAUCAUCCACCUGCUGCCAAAGUCAGAAAAUGACGUUUCACCCUCAACAACACCUUCUUACACCACCUUGACAUCUAGGUGGUCUUAUAGUUUCAGAGAUUCUGCGUCCUUGUCACUUCUAAAAUCUGUCCCCUGCACUCCAUUCCUACUGCCUCUUAGCUAAUCUCUCUGUGUUCAGUGUUUCUUGCCAGGAUUAUUGCAGUUCCCUCCUGUUGAAGUCAAUCUUCCCACUUAACUCUCUGGCUGUGCCAAUGUGCAUGUCACAAUUCUGCAGAGAUGUCUUUGUAACACACAAAUCUCCUUGUAUUAUUUCUUUGCUUACAAUGUCCAGUAACUCCUAUGAAUAAAACUCAGAUGUAGUCUGACAUAAGGCUGCUGUGAAUGCACCUGCCCCUCUUACCUUCCAGUUUUCCCCUUUGUGAAUCCUGAGAAGUUCUCUGAACACGUCAUUGUCUCUUUCCCUUACCUUCCUGGCUUUGUCUGGAAUGUCUUUCCCUGGUUCUCUAUUUGACUGAAUUAUUCUCACCCCUUAAGACUCAUCCAGGUUGUAUCUUCUUCCAGAAGGCUUCCCCAACCACCUUCAGCCUAUAUUAAAUAUCACUUUAAUUCAGUUAGGAAUUAGUUGUAGCUAACAAACUUUUAAAAAGGCAGACAUGGGGGAGGAACAGGUGCUCGUAAAAUUAUUGGAAGGAUUGGAGGAACAGGUCCUCAGCUGAGUUUCCAGGAGUGACUCCAAAAUUAUCAGUGCAGAACUGGCCCCCCAUGGGAUCCCUGCCUCUGCCAAGACCAUGUCAACUGGAAGCUGGUACCCAGGAAGCCGAAAGGUGCCACUUAAAAAUUAAAAAAAAAAAAGCCUCCACACCCAAGUUUGCCAGUAUAACUGAUGGCAGCAGUAACAGGUAAUCUCUACAUCGGGGUAUCUACACUGGUGUCCCAAGUCUCUUAGUCCCAGAUGGAUAGAGGCUAAGUCCAUGUGGGGGAAAUAGAGCUUCAAGGAAACUGAGAAAUAUGGUCCUUAGCUUUCCAAUCCCUAGCGCUCAGUAAGGCAUGUUGGAGAGUGUGGGAGCAGCCAGCAUUUGUAUCUGCCUCUCACUCCUCUAUGUUCUUAUGCUGUCAUGUACACAUUGUGUAGCAGUACUUGCCAUUCAUGUUCUCCUUACCUGCCUAAUUACCUGUCUGUCUCACCUGCAUAGGCUGCCAUCUUCCUGAAGGCAAACACUAUUCUUGUUCAUCUCCAAGUUGAGCCCAGCACAUAGCAGGUUCUCAAUAAAUGUUUGUUAACUGAAAGAAUGAACAAGAAGUUUUAGCAUUAUCUUAGAAUUCUCCUUUAACCCACCAGCCAAUAGCUCUUAUUAAUUUUGUCUUCAAAAUGUCCUUCCAGGAGUUCCCUUUGUGGCUCAGCAGUUAAGGGACCUCACUAGGAUCCAUGAGGUUGUGGGUUCAAUUCCUGACCUUUUUAAGUGGGUUAAGGUUCCGGUGUUACGUGGGCCGUACUGUAGGUCACAAUACAGCUUGGAUCUGAUGUGGCUGUGGCUGUGGUGUAGGCCAGCAGCUGUAGCUCUGAUUCAACCCCUAGCCUGGGAACUUCCAUAUG
rnacentral:lncRNA from 1 species